rnacentral:rRNA from 1 species
CCUACGGGAGGCUGCAGUGGGGAAUAUUGCACAAUGGGGGAAACCCUGAUGCAGCGACGCCGCGUGAGCGAGGAAGUAUUUCGGUAUGUAAAGCUCUAUCAGCAGGGACGAAAAAAGACGGUACCUGACUAAGAAGCCCCGGCUAACUACGUGCCAGCAGCCGCGGUAAUACGUAGGGGGCAAGCGUUAUCCGGAUUUACUGGGUGUAAAGGGAGCGUAGACGGCAAGGCAAGCCAGAAGUGAAAGGGCAGGGCUCAACCCUGUACAUGCUUUUGGAACUGUGGUGCUGGAGUGCAGGAGAGGUAAGUGGAAUUCCUAGUGUAGCGGUGAAAUGCGUAGAUAUUAGGAGGAACACCAGUGGCGAAGGCGGCUUACUGGACUGUAACUGACGUUGAGGCUCGAAAGCGUGGGGAGCAAACAGGAUUAGAUACCCCGGUAGUC